UACGUAGGGGGCAAGCGUUGUCCGGAUUUAUUGGGCGUAAAGAGCGUGUAGGCGGUUUGGUAGGUCCGCUGUGAAAACUCGAGCUCAACCUCGAGACGCCGGUGGAAACCAUCAGACUAGAGUCCGGAAGAGGAGAGUGGAAUUCCUGGUGUAGCGGUGAAAUGCGCAGAUAUCAGGAGGAACACCGGUGGGCGAAGGCGGGUCUCUGGGCAGUAACUGACGCUGGAGGAGCGAAGGCGUGGGGAGCGAACGG
rnacentral:rRNA from 1 species